rnacentral:rRNA from 1 species
CAGCAGCCGCGGUAAUACGAAGGGUGCAAGCGUUAAUCGGAGUUACUGGGCGUAAAGCGUGCGUAGGCGGUUUGUUAAGUCUGUUGUGAAAUCCCCGGGCUCAACCUGGGAAUGGCAAUGAAUACUGGCAAGCUAGAGUGUGUCAGAGGAUGGUGGAAUUCCCGGUGUAGCGGUGAAAUGCGUAGAGAUCGGGAGGAACAUCAGUGGCGAAGGCGGCCAUCUGGGACAACACUGACGCUGAGGCACGAAAGCGUGGGGAGCAAACAGGAUUAGAUACCCGGGUAGUCCCUGUCUCUUAUCC